rnacentral:tRNA from 1 species
ACUUUUAAAGGAAAGUAGUAAUCCAUUGGCUUUAGGCGCCAUUCCCCUUGGUGCAAGUCCAAGUAAAAGUA